AUGUCCCCCUUCUCAUCACUUUAACUAGCACCAGGAGCUGCUGGCAUGCUUCAGAAAGCUUACAUUUGAACACAGUCUAAAUCUGUACAGACCCUUGACCGGCUUAAUCCUUGCUUGUAAAUGACAAUGCAGAGGAAGAAAAAAAAUAAAAAACUACUUCCUUUCCUGUUGGAUACCUAAUAAGUAGUUAGUCUGACCCAGUUUUCAAUAAGAGCGAUUUUCUGAUGACCCAACAGGAGUGACUAUAUCUAGUCAAAGAAUGAGGGGGGUGAAUUUAAUCUUUUAUGCCACUGGAAUGGCAGCUGCUCCCAGCUGCCUGAGUCUGUGAAGGGUGAGGAAGACAGAACUGCCUUUCAGUGUGCAGAGAAUUUUCCCUUUGAAUAUUCCAAACGGGAGCUUUGCACAUGUGCCUCAAGAACUAAUUGUCUAGGUUCCGUCAGGAAUGCAGCAGGAGAGGAGCGUAUUUCAUGCUUAAGACCAGAGAGGAGCCACGCAAUACUCAGUGGAUAAAAGGCUUGCAGUCCCAGCUGGGAAAAAGAGUCCCAUUAUCUCCCAGCUGCAUAGACAUUCCAUACGGCUUGGUUCUGCCUGGAUGCACAGCAUGCCUGACUGAGGACUCCAGACAGAGUUCUGCAGAAAAAUUGUAAAGAUCCCGAGACAUUUCCCUGAUAGAUUGCUAACAAACUGACUAGAAGAUACAAUCUUCUUUCCUGCUGAUUGCAUGGGAGAAAUUUUUGACCUUCGAACGUGGAGAUGAGGUUGCUAUGGAAACUGGUAAUUCUGCUGCCACUCAUAAACUCUUGUGCAGGUGAGGGUCGUUUCAGCCGUCCUAUUUUUAUCCAGGAGCCACAAGAUGUCAUUUUUCCUUUGGAUUUAUCUAGAUCUGAAAUUAUUCUGACUUGUACUGCAAAUGGAUACCCUUCUCCCCAUUACAGGUGGAAACAGAAUGGUACAGAUAUUGACUUCGGCAUGACUUAUCACUAUAGGUUGGAUGGAGGCAGUUUGGCCAUCAGCAGCCCCAGAACAGAUCAAGAUAUUGGCAUAUACCAGUGUCUGGCCACCAAUCCUGUGGGCACCAUUCUGAGUAGAAAAGCCAAGCUACAGUUUGCAUAUAUUGAAGACUUUGAAACCAAAACCAGAAGCACAGUAUCUGUCCGAGAAGGUCAAGGAGUGGUACUACUCUGUGGCCCACCACCACAUUUUGGAGAAUUAUCAUAUGCCUGGACCUUCAAUGAUAGCCCUUUGUAUGUUCAAGAGGACAAGCGAAGAUUUGUAUCUCAAGACACAGGGAACUUGUACUUUGCCAAAGUAGAACCAUCUGAUGUGGGCAAUUAUACUUGCUUUGUCACAAACAAAGAGGCCCAUAGAAGUGUCCAAGGUCCACCUACGCCUUUAGUGCUGCGCACUGAUGGUGUCAUGGGGGAAUAUGAGCCAAAGAUUGAAGUGCGUUUUCCUGAAACAAUACAAGCUGCAAAGGAUUCAUCUAUAAAACUGGAAUGCUUUGCCCUUGGAAAUCCAGUCCCUGAUAUUAGUUGGAAAAGGUUGGAUGGAAGCCCGAUGCCAGGGAAAAUCAAGUACAGCAAAUCCCAAGCUAUCCUUGAAAUCCCCAAGUUCCAACAAGAGGAUGAAGGCUUCUAUGAAUGCAUCGCAGGUAACCUUCGAGGAAGAAACCUUGCAAAGGGUCAACUAAUUUUCUAUGCUCCCCCAGAAUGGGAACAGAAAAUCCAAAACACAUACCUUUCUAUCUAUGACAGCUUGUUUUGGGAAUGCAAAGCUAGUGGAAAUCCAAAUCCUUCGUACACGUGGCUAAAGAAUGGUCAACGUCUCAACACAGAAGAAAGAAUUCAGAUUGAAAAUGGGACUCUUAUCAUCACCAUGCUGAACAUUUCAGACUCUGGGAUCUACCAGUGUGCUGCAGAAAACAAAUAUCAGACAAUUUAUGCAAAUGCAGAAUUGAGAGUUUUAGCCUCAGCUCCAGAUUUCUCCAAAAAUCCCAUUAAAAAAAUUUCAGUUGUUCAAGUUGGUGGUGAUAUUUCUAUUGAAUGCAAACCAAAUGCUUUCCCCAAAGCAUCGAUUUCCUGGAAAAGAGGAACAGAGAACCUGAAACAAAGUAAAAGAGUUCUUUUCUUGGAGGAUGGCAGCCUUAAGAUAUGCAAUGUUACCAGAGCAGAUGCUGGGUCUUACACCUGUGUAGCUACAAAUCAAUUUGGCAAUGGGAAAAGCAGUGGAGGUCUCGUCGUGAAAGAGAGAACGAUCAUUACAGUACCACCAUCUAAAAUGGAUGUUACAGUUGGAGAGAGCAUCGUCUUACCCUGCCAAGUGUCUCAUGACCCCACCAUGGAAGUUCUAUUUGUUUGGUACUUUAAUGGAGAUAUUAUAGAUUUAAAGAAAGGAGUAGCCCAUUUUGAACGAAUUGGGGGAGAAUCUGUUGGGGAUUUGAUGAUAAGGAAUAUUCAAUUAGGCCAUUCGGGAAAAUAUCUAUGCACAGUACAAACAACACUAGAACGCUUGUCUGCUGUAGCUGAUAUCAUUGUGAGAGGUCCCCCAGGGCCCCCAGAGGAUGUAAAAGUGGAGCACAUCUCUAGUACGACCUCCCAGCUCAGCUGGAGACCAGGUCCUGAUAAUAACAGCCCCAUUCAAAUUUUUACUAUUCAAACUCGGACACCCUUUUCUGUGGGCUGGCAAGCGGUUGCUACAGUCCCUGAAAUUCUCAAUGGACAGACAUACAAUGCAACAGUCGUUGGUUUGAGUCCUUGGGUGGAAUACGAAUUUCGUGUUGUUGCUGGGAACAACAUUGGAAUUGGAGAGCCAAGCAAACCAUCAGAGCUGCUGAGAACCAAAGCAUCAGUCCCCAAUGUGGCACCAGGAAAUAUCAAUGGAGGCGGUGGAAGCAGAUCGGAACUUGUCAUUACGUGGGAGUUCAAAAGAUUUUUCAGGAGUAUUCAGUGGUUGGUUGCAUUCUGCCCAAGGCCAUUCCUGAAGAACUACAGAAUGGAGAGGGGUUUGGAUAUAUCGUCAUGUUUCGGCCAGUAGGCACAACCGCCUGGAUGAAAGAAAGGGUGGCUCUUGUAGAAUCAUCCAAGUUCAUCUAUAGAAAUGAAAGCAUCAUGCCUCUGUCUCCCUUUGAAGUCAAAGUGGGAGUGUACAAUAAUGAAGGAGAGGGAUCCCUGAGUACUGUGACCAUUGUCUACUCUGGGGAAGAUGAGCCUCAGCUGGCCCCAAGAGGAACUUCUGUCCAGAGUUUUUCUGCUUCUGAAAUGGAGGUUUCCUGGAAUGCUAUUGCUUGGAAUAGAAACACUGGAAGAGUGCUAGGCUAUGAGGUCUUAUACUGGACAGACAACUCCAAAGAAUCUAUGAUUGGUAAAAUUAGAGUCAGUGGAAAUGUCACAACCAAGAACAUCACAGGACUAAGAGCUAAUACGAUUUACUUUGCCUCUGUGAGAGCCUAUAACACUGCAGGGACUGGACCCUCAAGUCUGCCAGUUAAUGUCACCACCAAAAAGUCCCCUCCUAGCCAACCACCAGCAAACAUUGCCUGGAAGCUGUCAAAUUCUAAAUUAUGCUUGAACUGGGAGCAUGUAAAAACCAUGGAAAAUGAGUCUGAAGUGCUGGGCUACAAGAUCCUCUAUCGGCAGAACCGACAGAGUAAAACUCAUAUUUUGGAAACAAAUAAUACAUCUGCUGAACUCCUGGUUCCAUUUGAAGAAGACUAUUUGAUUGAAAUCAGAACAGUCAGUGAUGGUGGAGAUGGAAGCAGCAGUGAGGAAAUCAGAAUUCCAAAAAUGUCAAGUUUGAGUUCCACAGGAGUUCAGAUCUCGAAGCCCAGCACCCAGUCCCUGUCAAUGGUUGGGGUUUUUUACUGUUUUGCUAUUCACCCACUUUCGAGAUGAACCAAUCCAUGGAUCUUUGGGAAUUUUCUGAGAGCAAACCAUUCUGUAAAUCCAUUCUCCAGCCUCUAUCACAAGACAUAUUCUUAAUACAGACUUGUUUGGAAAGAAGAAAAUGUAUAUUACUAAGCUCUUGUAAAUAUCUGUGGUACAUUAAUAAAACAGUUUUAAACACUUUGAAA